UCAUGAGAAUUCCCUCACUAUCAUGAGAAC
rnacentral:piRNA from 1 species